AACGAACGCUGGCGGCAGGCUUAACACAUGCAAGUCGAACGAGAAACCAGAGCUUGCUCUGGUGGACAGUGGCAGACGGGUGAGUAACGCGUGGCAACCUACCUUUCAGUACGGAACAACAGUUAGAAAUGACUGCUAAUACCGUAUACGUCCUCCGGGAGAAAGAUUUAUCGCUGAUUGAUGGGGCCGCGUUAGAUUAGCUAGUUGGUGAGGUAAAAGCUCACCAAGGCGACGAUCUAUAGCUGGUCUGAGAGGAUGAUCAGCCACACUGGGACUGAGACACGGCCCAGACUCCUACGGGAGGCAGCAGUGGGGAAUAUUGGACAAUGGAGGCAACUCUGAUCCAGCCAUGCCGCGUGAAUGAUGAAGGCCUUAGGGUUGUAAAAUUCUUUCGCUAGGGAAGAUAAUGACGGUACCUAGUAAAGAAGCCCCGGCUAACUCCG
rnacentral:rRNA from 1 species